AAGACAAGCGCGCGAGACUCUCGUUGCGCACGCGUCGCGCGUAGCGGCGCCUUAUUAAGUCACAGCUCCGCCGACAACAAAGUACCAAGGGAACUCAAUGCGCCUGCGCAGCACGCUCACAAUCAGGCGAGAUGAAGUCCAGCCAGAAGUGGAGUCAUAGAAGGGGCAAGGUCUUACGGAGCCCAGGCUCUGAGUCAGCUGUAUCCGGUGUUCCACCCCUUCUACAAGGAAGCAGAUCAAUGGGUCAUUCAUACCUUUCACUUCACCUUCCCUGGAGCUACCUGGAGCCCGGCCAGAUGAAUCAGUCUACUCUAUCUGUUCUCCCUUUUGUGUGCCUGUUGCUCACCUCUACCCAUGCUCCCAGGCCUUCUCCCAAUUCCCUUCUACCUCCCUGCUCUCAGCUUGUCAGGAUGAAGCUUGAGAACUAUUUCCAUUCCCAGAAUACAUAAUCCGUUGUUUCUGUUGGGUAUUUGUCUGACAUUGGGAACUGACAUCAUAUUAAAUAAUGGCCGUAAGGUAUGUAAAC